rnacentral:rRNA from 1 species
UACGUAGGGGGCUAGCGUUGUCCGGAAUCAUUGGGCGUAAAGAGCGCGUAGGCGGCUCGGUAAGUCCGCUGUAAAAGUCAAAGGCUCAACCUUUGAAAGUCAGUGGAUACUGCCGGGCUAGAGUCCGGAAGAGGCGAGUGGAACUCCUGGUGUAGCGGUGAAAUUCGUAGAUAUUCGGAAGAACACCAGUGGCGAAGGCGGCUCACUGGCCCGGUACUGACGCUGAGGUGCGAAAGCGUGGGGAGCAAACAGG